rnacentral:rRNA from 1 species
CCUACGGGAGGCAGCAGUGGGGAAUUUUGGACAAUGGGCGCAAGCCUGAUCCAGCAAUGCCGCGUGAGUGAAGAAGGCCUUCGGGUUGUAAAGCUCUUUUGUCAGGGAAGAAACGGUGGGGGCUAAUAUCUCCUACUAAUGACGGUACCUGAAGAAUAAGCACCGGCUAACUACGUGCCAGCAGCCGCGGUAAUACGUAGGGUGCAAGCGUUAAUCGGAAUUACUGGGCGUAAAGCGUGCGCAGGCGGUUUUGUAAGUCUGUCGUGAAAGCCCCGGGCUCAACCUGGGAAUUGCGAUGGAGACUGCAAGGCUUGAAUCUGGCAGAGGGGGGUAGAAUUCCACGUGUAGCAGUGAAAUGCGUAGAGAUGUGGAGGAACACCGAUGGCGAAGGCAGCCCCCUGGGUCAAGAUUGACGCUCAUGCACGAAAGCGUGGGGAGCAAACAGGAUUAGAUACCCUGGUAGUCCACGCCCUAAACGAUGUCUACUAGUUGUCGGGUUUUAAUUAACUUGGUAACGCAGCUAACGCGUGAAGUAGACCGCCUGGGGAGUCGGUCGCAAGNUUAAAACGUCAAAGGAUUGACGGCNGAGAGNGCGAGGCGACGACGAGGGAGGAGG